rnacentral:lncRNA from 1 species
UUUUUCUUUUUUUUUUACUCAGUAGUAGUACAUAUAUAUUGUUUUUGCUAUACAUCUAGUAAUCUUUGUCGUAACCUUCUGACAAUAACAUUGGGUCAGAAUGUGAUUUCUCUAUGUAUCUACAGUAAAUCAUCUUUACAGUAACCUUCUGACAAUAACAUUGGGUCAGUAUGUGAUUUCUCUAUGUGUCUACAGUAAAUCAUCUUUACAGUAACCUUCCUGAAAUACAGGGCCUUCAGAAAGUAUUCACCCCUUGUCUUUUUCGAAAUGUUUUGGGGUCACAGCCUGAAUUAAAAAAUGGAUUAAGUGGAGAUGUUGUGUCGCUGGCCUGCACACAAUACCCCAGAAUGUCAAAGAUGAAUCAUGUUUUUAGACAUUUUACAAAUUAAUAAAAAAUGAAAAGCUGAAAUGUCUCUAGUCAAUAGGUAUUAACUCCUUUGUUAUGGUAAGCCUAAAUGCGUUCAGGAAUAAAAAUAUGCUUAACAAGUCACAUAAUAAGUUGCAUUGACUCACGCUUUCUGCAAUAAUAGUGUUUAACAUGAUCUUUGAGUGACUAUCUCAUCUCUGUUCCCCACACAUACAAUUAUCUGUGAGGUCCCUCAGUCGAGCAGUGAAUUUUAAACACAGAUUCAACCACAAAGACCAGGGAGGUUUUCCAAUGCCUCGCAAAGAAGGCCACCUAUUGGUUGAUGUGUAAAAAUAAAAAAAACAGACAAUGAAUAUCCCUUUGAGCCUGGUGAAGUUAUUAAUUACACUUUGGAUGGUGUAUCAAUACACCCAGUCACUACAAAGAUACAGGCGUACUUCCUAACUCAGUUGCCAGGGAGGAAGGAAACCGCUCAGGGGUUUCACCAUGAGGUCAAUGGUGAUUUUAAAACAGUUACAGAGUUUAAUGGCUGUGUUAAGAGAAAACUGAUGAUGGAUCAACAACAUUGUAGUUACUCCACAAUACUAACCUAAAUGAUAGAGUGAAAAGAAGGAAGCCUGUACAGAAUAAAACAUAUUCCAAAACAUGCAUCCUGUUUGCAAUAACGCACAAAAGGAAAACUGUAAAAAAAAAUGUGGCACAGAAAUGACCUUUAUGUCCUGAAUACAAAGUGUUAUAUUUGGGUCAAAUCCAACACAACACAUCACUGAGUACCACUCUUCAUAUUUUCAAGCAUGGUGGUGGCUGCAUCAUGUUAUGGGUAUGCUUGUCAUUGGCAAGGACUAGGGAGGUUUUGGGAGGAUUCAAAAUAAACGUAAUAGAGCUCAGCACAGGGAGUAAAACCUGGUUCAGACUUCUUCCCAACAAACACUGGGAGACAAAUUCACAUUUCAGAAAAACAAUAUUGAAUGUUCCUGAGUGGCCUAGUUACAGUUUUGACUUAAAUCGGCUUGAAAUUCUAUGGCAAGACUUUUGAAAAUAAUAAUUGCCAAAUAUUGUACAAUCCAGGUAUGUUAAGCUCUUAGAGACUUACCCAGAAAGACUAACAGCUGUAAUCGCUGCCAAAGGUGAUUCUAACAUGUAUUGACUCAGGGGGUUUGAAUACUUAUGUAAAUUCGAUUUUGGAAAUUAAUUUUCAAUACAUUUGCAAAAAUGUCAAAAAACAUGUUUUCACUUUUUUAUUAUGGGGUAUUGUGUGUAGAUGGGUGAGAUUUAAAAUAUAUAUAUAUAUCCAUUGUGAAUUCAGGCUGUAACAACAAACCGUAGUAUAAGUCAAGGGGUAUGAAUACUUUCUGAAGGCCCUCUCCAUAUUAUCUGAGACUGUAAAUGUCACCAAUGUGUGAACAUGGCUAAAUACAAAUCUCAUCUGGAUAUCAUUACCAGAGCCUGGAAAUCCUACUCGUAAUAUCCCAGCCUAGCCCUGUCUGACUGAGGGUUGAAACCUAGACUGGGAGGGGGCUCAGCUCUGAGACAUAGUAUGAACUGGUUUCCAGGGCAACAUUAAACCAAUAGUGUUGUGUUAGUCAAAGACUAGACUUUAUCUGUGUCUAGGAUACUCAGCCCAAUAACACUGUAACUGCUGGGGGGGGUCAACUCUAAAGGCUGGUUUCCCAGAUACAGAUUAAUCCUAGUUCUGGACUAAAAAGGUAUUUCUUCAUUGACAAUGAAAUUCUCCAUUAGACCAGGACAAGGAUUAAUCUGUGCCUGGGAAACCAGCCCAAUGACACAGUGUCUGUAUUCCCAGACACAAAUUAAGCCUAUAUUCCUGGACUAAAAAGCUAUUUAAAGAGAGAUUAUUAAAUUUAGCAUGCUUUUUAGUUCAGGACCAGGCUUAAUCUGUGUCCUGGAAACUGGCCCAAUAACACAGUAACUGAACUUCUAUAUCUCUGGUACAGGCAGCAAGUUUGUGUGUCUAUAUCUCUGGUACAGGCAGCAAGUUUGUGUGUCUAUAUCUCUGGUACAGGCAGCAAGUUUGUGUGUCUAUAUCUCUGGUACAGGCAGCAAGUUUGUGUAUCUAUAUCU